rnacentral:rRNA from 1 species
GAUGAACGCUGGCGGCGUGCCUAAUACAUGCAAGUCGAGCGAAUGGAUUAAGAGCUUGCUCUUAUGAAGUUAGCGGCGGACGGGUGAGUAACACGUGGGUAACCUGCCCAUAAGACUGGGAUAACUCCGGGAAACCGGGGCUAAUACCGGAUAACAUUUUGAACCGCAUGGUUCGAAAUUGAAAGGCGGCUUCGGCGGUCACUUAUGGAUGGACCCGCGUCGCAUUAGCUAGUUGGUGAGGUAACGGCUCACCAAGGCAACGAUGCGUAGCCGACCUGAGAGGGUGAUCGGCCACACUGGGACUGAGACACGGCCCAGACUCCUACGGGAGGCAGCAGUAGGGAAUCCUCCGCAAUGGACGAAAGUCUGACGGAGCAACGCCGCGUGAGUGAUGAAGGCUUUCGGGUCGUAAAACUCUGUUGUUAGGGAAGAACAAGUGCUAGUUGAAUAAGCUGGCACCUUGACGGUACCUAACCAGAAAGCCACGGCUAACUACGUGCCAGCCGCCGCUGUAA